GUGCAGAACAACCCAAGCAUGGAAUGAGAAGGGAUGCCUAGAUCUUUAAGAUGCCUGAGCUGUUGAAGUCCCAGUUCCAUCACCUAUAAUGUCUGCAGGUUGUAAUGUCUUUCCAGAAAAAGCUUGAGAAGAAGUGACAUAAAGAGAUCCUGAUACUUGAUUUGGAACUUAGGGAAGCUCCAAKGCAAUGAGAGCCUGUUAUUCACAGAGAAGAGCUUCUUUGCACUUCCUUUUGCCAGCCUCCAGCUGAUCAUGAGCCACAGAACAGUCACCCAGAAACCUGUCACCACUGGAAUGGUGCAUGAGAAGAGGGAUACGGAGCUUGGAUUGAAGACCCUGUACGACAGGCUGUGGAAGAGGCUGAGUCAGACCAUUGCUCAAAAGGCCAUUACAGCUUUCAGUUGCUGAUCUGCUUGCCAUGUGUGAUUGUGCAUUGCUGUUAAAAUGGCAUAUUGGCCCUAAUCCUGAAAAGCUUUCAGCUCUGCUGUACCUGGACUGUGUCUACAAGCAAGCUUGUUACCCAUGCUCUGAAAAUCAGGUGCCCAGGGGCAUCGCCAGUGAGCUGACACCCAUGCUGCGGCCUGUGCACCAGCACAGUCCCCCUCCUGCCUUGGGCCUCCCAGGGGAGAGUGAGCUGCUGCUGGCGGGCCUCUCCCUGAACCUCCUUUGAAGCUGCAGUUGGAUCAGAUAACCGAAACCUGCGUUGUCGCUGCUGCCCCAGAAGCAAACCAUGUAGGGAUGCACCUACGGCUGGGAGGGCCGCACAGGGUCCCUUCUGGGGGGGUCUCUGGGGAACAGAGCAAAUAAAAUGGAAGCACCUCACGGGCUGUGUCCGUGC
rnacentral:lncRNA from 1 species